AGUGAACGCUGGCGGUAGGCCUAACACAUGCAAGUCGAACGGCAGCACAGUAAGAGCUUGCUCUUACGGGUGGCGAGUGGCGGACGGGUGAGGAAUACAUCGGAAUCUACUUUUUCGUGGGGGAUAACGUAGGGAAACUUACGCUAAUACCGCAUACGACCUACGGGUGAAAGCAGGGGAUCUUCGGACCUUGCGCGAUUGAAUGAGCCGAUGUCGGAUUAGCUAGUUGGCGGGGUAAAGGCCCACCAAGGCGACGAUCCGUAGCUGGUCUGAGAGGAUGAUCAGCCCAAAUGGAACGGACACACGGUCCAAGCCCCGACGGGAGGCAGAGGGGGGAAAAUUGGGAAAAUGGGCGCAAGCCUGACCCAGCCAUCCCGCGUGGGUGAAGAAGGCCUUCGGGUGGUAAAGCCCUUUUGUGGGGAAAAAAAAGCAGCAGGUUAAUACCCCGCUGUUCUGACGGUACCCAAAGAAUAAGCACCGGCUAACUUCGU
rnacentral:rRNA from 1 species